GAUGAACGCUGGCGGCGUGCCUAAUACAUGCAAGUCGAGCGAACGGACGAGAAGCUUGCUUCUCUGAUGUUAGCGGCGGACGGGUGAGUAACACGUGGAUAACCUACCUAUAAGACUGGGAUAACUUCGGGAAACCGUAGCUAAUACCGGAUAAUAUUUUGAACCGCAUGGUUCAAAAGUGAAAGACGGUCUUGCUGUCACUUAUAGAUGGAUCCGCGCUGCAUUAGCUAGUUGGUAAGGUAACGGCUUACCAAGGCAACGAUGCAUAGCCGACCUGAGAGGGUGAUCGGCCACACUGGAACUGAGACACGGUCAAGACUCCUACGGGAGGCAGCAGUAGGGAAUCUUCCGCAAUGGGCGAAAGCCUGACGGAGCAACGCCGCGUGAGUGAUGAAGGUCUUCGGAUCGUAAAACUCUGUUAUUAGGGAAGAACAUAUGUGUAAGUAACUGUGCACAUCUUGACGGUACCUAAUCAGAAAGCAACGGCUAACUACGUG
rnacentral:rRNA from 1 species